rnacentral:rRNA from 1 species
GCUAGUUGGUAAGGUAACGGCUUACCAAGGCAAUGAUCAAUAGCCGGCCUGAGAGGGUGAACGGCCACACUGGAACUGAGACACGGUCCAGACUCCUACGGGAGGCAGCAGUGGGGAAUAUUGCACAAUGGAGGAAACUCUGAUGCAGCAACGCCGCGUGAACGAAGAAGGCUUUCGAGUCGUAAAGUUCUGUUAUAGGGGAAGAAGCAGUGACGGUACCCUAUGAGAAAGCCACGGCUAAUUACGUGCCAGCAGCCGCGGUAAUACGUAAGUGGCAAGCGUUAUCCGGAAUUACUGGGCAUAAAGCGUUCGUAGGCGGUUAAACAAGCCAAUAGUGAAAUCCACCAGCCUAACUGGUGUCAGCUAAUGGAACUGUAUAACUUGAGUACAGGAGAGGAAAGUGGAAUUCCUAGUGUAGUAGUGAAAUGCGUAGAUAUUAGGAAGAACAUCAGUAGCGAAGGCGACUUUCUGGACUGUAACUGACGCUGAGGAACGAAAGCGUGGGGAGCGAACAGGAUUAGAUACCCUGGUAGUCCACGCCGUAAACGAUGGAUACUUGGUGUUGGCCGUAAAGGUCGGUGCCGGAGCAAAUGUAUUAAGUAUCCCGCCUGGGGAGUACGGUCGCAAGGCUGAAACUCAAAAGAAUUGACGGGGACCCGCACAAGCAGCGGAGCAUGUGGUUUAAUUCGAAGCAACGCGAAGAACCUUACCAAAUCUUGACAUAUCAAAGCUAUCUGAGUAAAAUUGGAGUUCCAUUUGGACUUUGACUACAGGUGGUGCAUGGUUGUCGUCAGCUCGUGUCGUGAGAUGUUGGGUUAAGUCCCGUAACGAGCGCAACCCUUAUUUUUAGUUGCUAACAAGUAAUGUUGAGGACUCUAGAGAGACUGCCGAUGAAAAAAUCGGAGGAAGGUGGGGAUGACGUCAAAUCAUCAUGCCCCUUAUGAUUUGGGCUACACACGUGCUACAAUGGCCGGUACAACGGGUAAGCGAAGGGGUGACCUGGAGCCAAUCCUCAUAAGCCGGUCCCAGUUCGGAUUGCAGAUUGAAACUCAUCUGUAUGAAGUUGGAGUUGCUAGUAAUCGCGAAUCAGAAUGUCGCGGUGAAUGCGUUCCCGGGUCUUGUACACACCGCCCGUCACACCAUGGAAGUUGGAGGCACCCGAAGUCAGUG